rnacentral:rRNA from 1 species
GAUGAACGCUGGCGGCGUGCCUAAUACAUGCAAGUCGAGCGAACAGACGAGGAGCUUGCUCCUCUGACGUUAGCGGCGGACGGGUGAGUAACACGUGGAUAACCUACCUAUAAGACUGGGAUAACUUCGGGAAACCGGAGCUAAUACCGGAUAAUAUAUUGAACCGCAUGGUUCAAUAGUGAAAGACGGUUUUGCUGUCACUUAUAGAUGGAUCCGCGCCGCAUUAGCUAGUUGGUAAGGUAACGGCUUACCAAGGCAACGAUGCGUAGCCGACCUGAGAGGGUGAUCGGCCACACUGGAACUGAGACACGGUCCAGACUCCUACGGGAGGCAGCAGUAGGGAAUCAUCUGCAAUGGGCGAAAGCCUGACGGAGCAACGCCGCGUGAGUGAUGAAGGUCUUCGGAUCGUAAAACUCUGUUAUUAGGGAAGAACAAAUGUGUAAGUAACUAUGCACGUCUUGACGGUACCUAAUCAGAAAGCCACGGCUAACUACGUG